rnacentral:lncRNA from 1 species
CAAAUUUAAAUGAUUUUCCAAAAUGUACUAUUAUGUUCAAGCUUUCGAAAAUGCUAUGCCAAAAAUGGAAACACCACCUUAUGAUUAAUGGUUGGAAAGCAUAUUGCAUAAGGAUCAUUUGUUAUGUUGAUCAAAAUUCCAUUUGGGCCUUAGAAAUUGAUGAAAAUUGGCCAUGAAGUGUAGGGUGCAAAACAUGCAUAUGUGAGAUUUUCAAAAUUGGCCAAAGUUCAA